rnacentral:rRNA from 1 species
GACGAACGCUGGCGGCGUGCUUAACACAUGCAAGUCGAACGAUGAAGCCGGAGCUUGCUCUGGUGAAUUAGUGGCGAACGGGUGAGUAACACGUGAGUAACCUUCCCUUGACUCUGGGAUAACUGCUAGAAAUGGUAGCUAAUACCGGAUACGACCCUCGGAGGCAUCUCCAGGGGGUGGAAAGAAUUUCGGUCAAGGAUGGACUCGCGGCCUAUCAGCUAGUUGGUGAGGUAAUGGCUCACCAAGGCGACGAUGGGUAGCCGGCCUGAGAGGGUGACCGGCCACACUGGGACUGAGACACGGCCCAGACUCCUACGGGAGGCAGCAGUGGGGAAUAUUGCACAAUGGGCGCAAGCCUGAUGCAGCAACGCCGCGUGAGGGAUGACGGCCUUCGGGUUGUAAACCUCUUUUAGUAGGGAAGAAGCGAAAGUGACGGUACCUGCAGAAAAAGCACCGGCUAACUACGUGCCAGCAGCCGCGGUAA